AGUGUAAUAUUGGAGUGGCUUAAGAGGGAAGUUAGAGAAGAUUGUACAGUAGAGCAAGGGUUUCAGGUAUCAAACUGGGUUCAUGCCCCUCACACAUUUCAUUUGUCUACAUGUUAUUGGCGUUUCAUUUAUCAUCUGGACAAACAAGUCAUGGAAGUGGUACCAAUAUGACCUUUCACUGAUCUGAAUGUGAUAAAGGCCCUUUGUCUAUAUGCCUGUGGACUUUAUCAUCUGGGG
rnacentral:lncRNA from 1 species